AUCUGGCGUGUGUGUGUCGCCCCAAGCAGGAGAAAAAGAGGAGAAACCCUAAAAUCCUUGAAGUUGCAAAAUUGAGAAGGGAAAUUGAAGCUAAUCAUAUGCAUGAAUCUGAAUGUGCAACCAUUUAAGCCUACUAAUCAAGUGGCAUAGGGAUCAUGUGGAAAUGGACUCAAGAACGGAAGGUUAACGGGUCAAGCGGAGGCGAGGAAGCAAGCAUGAACACUAACGCUCGAGGUUGCAUGGAUUUAGCAUCAUUAUGAAGGACAUAAAGAUUGAAGAUCGAGUCAAGAGCAAAGAAUUGUACGGGAAAGAUCGGUCACAUAGUUUAGCAAAUGUAGGUCCGAAGUAUUAAUAUAAUGGAACGUGGUAAAUCCUUUUUAAUGAAUGUAUGACAUUUGAUAUUCGAACUUUCCUGUAAGUACUAUGUCUAUUAAAGAACGAAAUUUUUGGGUUCAUAUUUUCCGCUGUGUUGUAUUUUUUUUAAGUUAUUACAAGUUAGUUUUACAGGGAAUUGUUCAUAAUACGAAUGGGUCAUGCCCGAUUUUUGUUAAAUUAUAGCAUGAUAAUAUUACUUUCGGAUUAAGAAUUUUGGGCAUUUCAUUUUUGUCAUUUCACACGCAUCUAACACCAAAAACUAACCCAGUUAUGCGUCAGUGACUAUCCG
rnacentral:lncRNA from 1 species